UACGUGAGGGGCGAACGUUGUUCGGUGUCACUGGGCUUAAAGGGUGCGUAGGUGGUUGCGUAAGUAACGUGUGAAAUCCCUCGGCUUACCCGGGGAAUUGCGCGUUAUACUGCGUGACUUGAGGAUUUCAGGGGAAUGGGGAACUCCAGGUGUAGCGAUGAAAUGCGCAGAUAUCUGGGGGAAGGCCGGCGGCGAAGGCGCCAUUCUGGGAAAUUCCUGACACUGAGGCACGAAAGCGUGGGGAGCAAACAGG
rnacentral:rRNA from 1 species